GCGACUUCAGCCUCAACACGGGUCGAGCAACCAUCUGACCACGGAUCAGAAGGUUGGGGGUUCGAGUCCCUCCAGGCGCACGA
rnacentral:tRNA from 1 species